AAAGCAAAGUUUUGGGUUUUUCACGACAGAGUAGGCGGGAACCCAUGCUCGUUGCCAGAGGAUCUUGAUUGCGGGCAUUGCGGGCAGGUUAACAAUGCCACCGUUAUCGGGAUACGAAUGUGGCUAUUGUCCGACUCGGUGGGCCCCCUCCCUCACUCCCCACUCCUCGCCGCCCCGGCGAGGGUGCGGGGCGCGCGGCAAAAUGGAAGAGGUUUUCUCACGUCUCGCGUUGUGUGCGAAACGGCCCUCUUAACUGUCGAAUGAUGGAACAAGUAAGUGGUCGGCGCCUCGGAGCAAAGCCCUGUCAAGCGACUCAAAGAAGGAGGAGGAGGAGGAAGAGAAGGAAGAGGAGGAUGGGAGGAGAAGAGGGGAGAGAAGGGGGAAGGGGUCGGGCCACCACACGUGUCCCCAGCCCAGCAUUACCCAUCUCAUGAGCUGCUCACUGCCACAGAGGGGCAGAGCCCUGCGCGGAUACAACUGGGGCGCCUGGCCUGGGGGCCCCUGAUGGGAACACAGUGAAAAAAAUAUACAACAAAAACACGUACGCGUUUUUUCCUAGAGUACUCACGCCCGCGGUCAAAUGAAUCGGAAAGGGAAUGUAGUGUUCCUUAAAAAAGGGAAAAGAGAAAGAAGAGGUGAAUGUGUUUAGUUUUAAAAGUUUUAAAAAGAGAUUACUUGUGGAGCAAGGAUAAGGAAUGAGCGAGAAUGAGUUAUUGAGUCUGGCAUAGGCGGAAAUCUACAUAACGUUGAUACCCACUUUUUUUUAAAAAAAAGUUUA